UGUGUAGGCGGUUGUUUAAGUUUGGUGUGAAAUCUCCCGGCUCAACUGGGAGGGUGCGCCGAAUACUGAAUGACUAGAGUGCGGGAGAGGAGAGUGGAAUUCCUGGUGUAGCGGUGAAAUGCGUAGAUAUCAGGAGGAACACCGGCGGUGUAGGCGGCCCUCUGGACCGUAACUGACGCUGAGACACGAAAGCGUGGGGAGCAAACAGGAUUAGAUACCCUGGUAGUCCACGCCCUAAACGAUGCGCAUUUGGUGUGGGUCAUUCAGUUGAUCCGUGCCGGAGCUAACGCGUUAAUGCGCCGCCUGGGGAGUACAGUCGCAAGGCUGAA
rnacentral:rRNA from 1 species